rnacentral:rRNA from 1 species
CCUACGAGUGGCAGCAGUGGGGAAUAUUGGGCAAUGGACGCAAGUCUGACCCAGCAACGCCGCGUGAAGGAAGAAGGCUUUCGGGUUGUAAACUUCUUUUAAGGGGGAAGAGCAGAAGACGGUACCCCUUGAAUAAGCCAUGGCUAACUACGUGCCAGCAGCCGCGGGAAUACGUAGGUGGCAAGCGUUGUCCGGAUUUACUGGGUGUUAAGGGCGUGCAGCCGGAGAGUCAAGUCAGAGGUGAAAUCCACGGGCUCAACCCGUGAACUGCGUUUGAAACUGGUUCCCUUGAGUGUCGGAGAGGUAAGCGGAAUUCCUGGUGUAGCGGUGAAAUGCGUAGAUAUUAGGAAGAACACCAGUGGCGAAGGCGGAUUAAUGGACGAUAACUGACGGUGAGGCGCGAAAGCGUGGGGAGCAAACAGGAUUAGAUACCCUUGUAGUC